rnacentral:rRNA from 1 species
CUUCCGUAGGUGAACCUGCGGAAGGAUCAUUACCGAGUGUAGGGUUCCUAGCGAGCCCAACCUCCCACCCGUGUUUACUGUACCUUAGUUGCUUCGGCGGGCCCGCCAUUCAUGGCCGCCGGGGGCUCUCAGCCCCGGGCCCGCGCCCGCCGGAGACACCACGAACUCUGUCUGAUCUAGUGAAGUCUGAGUUGAUUGUAUCGCAAUCAGUUAAAACUUUCAACAAUGGAUCUCUUGGUUCCGGCAUCGAUGAAGAACGCAGCGAAAUGCGAUAACUAGUGUGAAUUGCAGAAUUCCGUGAAUCAUCGAGUCUUUGAACGCACAUUGCGCCCCCUGGUAUUCCGGGGGGCAUGCCUGUCCGAGCGUCAUUGCUGCCCAUCAAGCACGGCUUGUGUGUUGGGUCGUCGUCCCCUCUCCGGGGGGGACGGGCCCCAAAGGCAGCGGCGGCACCGCGUCCGAUCCUCGAGCGUAUGGGGCUUUGUCACCCGCUCUGUAGGCCCGGCCGGCGCUUGCCGAACGCAAAUCAAUCUUUUUCCAGGUUGACCUCGGAUCAGGUAGGGAUACCCGCUGAACUUAAGCAUAUCAAUAA